UAGACCACGCUGGUUAAGAGUUCUCUUUGAGUAUAUAGACAACGCAUUAUAAGUGUUGCCAAUUCAAAUAACAUUUGGCAACACAUACUCACCUAUAUUACAACGUUUUUAGAGCGUCCCAUUUUUUAAUCCUAAAAGCAACCUUUUAUAAGCGCGCUCUAAACUUUUCCAACCAAUAUUUUCAUUAGAAGUUUCCCUCCAUUAUUUUUCCUAAUGAAAUAUUUUCUCCUAUUUUCUAAAAGGAAAAAGGACGCACAGUAAAUAUUUGCCCAUUUUUAAUCCCACACCUCUAUCGAUUUGCUGGGGCUGAAGAAAUUUCUAUUUUUACUGCCGCAUCUUCCACCACCUCCAUUGCCGAUGUUACCGUUGCUUCUACAUUAAUGGUUGAUUAAGUCUUGAAAUGGAGGACAAGGUUUUCAGAGAAUUAGUAAUCUCAAAAUCGGCUAGAGGUCUGCUCCAUAUGGAUUUUGAUGAAUGUGCAACAUCAAAGGAAAGUCUUUGUGAGCAGUUGGAAAUGGUGGCCAAGCGACAAUUUGAUCUAAUGGAAUUUAAUCACCAAGACUUUGGACAAUUAUGAUUUUUGUUAUUUCUGAUACUAUAAUAAUACAUUUGCUUUUUAUAAAGUUAAUUGCUAGCAUGCCCCUUGUGACAAUUUUCUUUAUGUUGAUGUAUUACACGAGGUUUACUCCUUGUUUGAAGUACAUUGCAAGUUUAUGCAUUUGAAUUAUUCUUU